ensembl:lncRNA
GUCUUCCUGAUAUCCCUAAGACUACAAGUCAGCCAGAGACCUUCAGAAAAAAAACCCUACACAAUAUAUCACCAAUACAAUUGCCACAGUGCUGGAAAUUCUGCCACUAGAAAUUCAUUUCUGUCAACAGUACCCAAGAGAGAAAGGGACAACUGCUAUUCUUACUGAGAAAGUAAUUUCCCUGGAAAUUGAAGCACUGGAUGAAGCAAUUAUAGACAAUGGACACUACCUAAAAGGACUUGCUCAUCAACUCUUUUGAAUGAGGUCGCCUUGUGUAAGAUGGGCUCAUCACUAAUAAACAAAUGAUGGAGAUCUGGAUUGUCUUCUGUGAGUUUCCAAUAGUCCAAGAGAGAGCACUUCUUCCCUUCCUCCAGCAAAAAAAAAAAGAAAGAAAAAAGAAGGUACUAUUCAUAAAAACUCUU